CCUACGGGAGGCUGCAGUGGGGAAUAUUGCACAAUGGGCGCAAGCCUGAUGCAGCCAUGCCGCGUGUGUGAAGAAGGCCUUCGGGUUGUAAAGCACUUUCAGCGGGGAGGAAGGCGGUGAGGUUAAUAGCCUCAUCGAUUGACGUUACCCGCAGAAGAAGCACCGGCUAACUCCGUGCCAGCAGCCGCGGUAAUACGGAGGGUGCAAGCGUUAAUCGGAAUUACUGGGCGUAAAGCGCACGCAGGCGGUCUGUCAAGUCGGAUGUGAAAUCCCCGGGCUCAACCUGGGAACUGCAUUCGAAACUGGCAGGCUAGAGUCUUGUAGAGGGGGGUAGAAUUCCAGGUGUAGCGGUGAAAUGCGUAGAGAUCUGGAGGAAUACCGGUGGCGAAGGCGGCCCCCUGGACAAAGACUGACGCUCAGGUGCGAAAGCGUGGGGAGCAAACAGGAUUAGAUACCCCGGUAGUC
rnacentral:rRNA from 1 species